GACGAACGCUGGCGGCGUGCCUAAUACAUGCAAGUAGAACGCUGAAGAGAGGAGCUUGCUCUUCUUGGAUGAGUUGCGAACGGGUGAGUAACGCGUAGGUAACCUGCCUUGUAGCGGGGGAUAACUAUUGGAAACGAUAGCUAAUACCGCAUAACAAUGGAUGACACAUGUCAUUUAUUUGAAAGGGGCAAUUGCUCCACUACAAGAUGGACCUGCGUUGUAUUAGCUAGUAGGUGAGGUAAUGGCUCACCUAGGCGACGAUACAUAGCCGACCUGAGAGGGUGAUCGGCCACACUGGGACUGAGACACGGCCCAGACUCCUACGGGAGGCAGCAGUAGGGAAUCCUCGGCAAUGGGGGCAACCCUGACCGAGCAACGCCGCGUGAGUGAAGAAGGUUUUCGGAUCGUAAAGCUCUGUUGUAAGUCAAGAACGGGUGUGAGAGUGGAAAGUUCACACCGUGACGGUAGCUUACCAGAAAGGGACGGCUAACUACGUG
rnacentral:rRNA from 1 species